rnacentral:rRNA from 1 species
GUCUACAGCCAUGCCACGCUGAACAAGCCUGAUCCUUUCUGAUCUUGGAAGCUAAGCAGGGAUGGGCCUGGUUAGUACUUGGAUGGGAGACCACCUAGGAAGACUGGGUAUUGUAGGUU